rnacentral:lncRNA from 1 species
GGGGGAUUAGUUCCAGGCUGCAUUGUUGGAGGGAAGUCACAAUUUGAUGAGACAACAAGUCCAUCUGAGUAAUUAAGGGUAAUGGGAUAGGGGGUAGGAGUGUGAUUGGAUAAUAAGGACCCAGUCCUUGAAGCAUACACAGAUAUUUUACAAACUAGAUUCAGUCCAAUCAACCAUUUGGAAACUUUGGUGAAACUGUCUCUGGCCAUGAAGAUAAUCUGGAAUUGCUACUAGGUUAUGAUGAGAAAUGAUCUAGUUGGGCUACAGAGCUAAAAGGAUUGAUGACUUAGGAACUGCUAUAACAGAACUAAGCGUACAUAUAAAAGGGGUGACCUACCCAUUUCUCAUCUCUUUUCCUUCCUGGCUAGGAUUGCUUUGAGUUACAAAGAGGAGAUGCUGGCCAUAUUUCUCCACCAUAUUCGUGAGCACAUGGUACUUCUAUCUCUCUUGUUUCUUUCUCUCAGGUGAAUGAAUAUUCUGAAACGGAAGUGCCUGGAGAAGAGGUGUUUGGAAGCGGGGGUGGUUGCGCAGGACCUCAUCCCUGGAGGCUACACAAGAGUCUGAGCCCCAACUCGCACAGCGCGUCGGCGUAGAAGCAGCCCCGGACUACAUUUCCCAGAAACGCGCGGGCCGCGCUUCCGGCCCUAGACCAGGUUCGGUCUGAAUGAGUCCAACAGCGCGGUAGGCGCGCUAACUUCCCGCUUUGGCUGGCCCUAGCUUUCCUAGCCUGCCGGAGUCCGCCUGCGCAGGCGCACUUCCAGUUGGAUUGUGCUUUCCUCGGGCGGCUGCUUCAUUGCAGAUUCUAAUGAGAAGCUGCUGCUGUUGGAGCUAGAUUAAUUCUUCCCCAGUGGCUGGGGAGCCAAGACUUGAAAAGUCAAAAAGACCAUCCAGGAAAGCAGCAAAGAGGAGGGGGUAACUAUGGAGAACUUGGACUUCAUGCUUGAGGAGAGAGUUCUGGCAUCUCAAGACUGUGCCCUUCCCCAAGAAAGGAGAAGCGAGGAGGAGGAGGAGGGAAUGACUUCUGGGUUCCUGACAGCCAGGUCUGAGGUGAGUUAGGCUUUCCUCUCACUCUUGAAAUGCCAUCUCAUUUUUCAAGGUGUAGACACAUUUCUUUCCCGUUUUCCCCCU